AGUGGCGAACGGGGUGAGUAACACGUGGGCAACCUGCCCAAAAGAGGGGGAUAACACUUGGAAACAGGUGCUAAUACCGCAUAACCAUAGUUACCGCAUGGUAACUAUGUAAAAGGUGGCUAUACUACCGCUUUUGGAUGGGCCCGCGGCGCAUUAGCUAGUUGGUAGGGUAAAGGCUUACCAAGGCAAUGAUGCGUAGCCGAAUUGAGAGGUUGAUCGGCCACAUUGGGACUGAGACACGGCCCAAACUCCUACGGAAGGCAGCAG
rnacentral:rRNA from 1 species